rnacentral:lncRNA from 1 species
UCAACCAACACAUUACACUAAAGAAUCACAUUGAUCUCAAGAACAAUCUUAACCAACGCACAUUGAGUUUUUCAAGUUUGAAUAUGGCCAGCACUAGGGUCAUUGGUGCUGCAUUCUUGGUUUUGCUGCUUGUGGAGCUCUCCUUUGCUGCUAGACCGUUAAAGGCCAAUGGGGGUGGUAGUGGCGGCGGCGGCGGCGGUGGAGGUGGUGGAGGGGGUGGUUCAGCCUCUGGGUUCGGGUCUGGGUAUGGUUCGGGGCGUGGGUAUGGGGGUGGUUCAGGGUAUGGUAUUGAAGGUGGAGGCGGAGGCGGUGGAGGUGAAGGAGGCGGCGGUGGUGGUGGACACGGUGGUUCUGGGUCUGGAUAUGGGUCCGGUAGUGGUUCUGGUUAUGGGUCUGGUGGUGGGAAAGGAAGAGGUGGAGGUGGAGGAGGCAGCGGUGGUGGUGGUGGGGGAGGAGGUGGUGAAGGCUCGAGUACAGGAAGUGGGUCAGGUUAUGGAAGUGGAAGUGGAAGUGGCUAUGGUAGCGGAGGUGGCAAGGGCGGUGGUGGUGGGGGAGGCGGAGGAGGUGGUGGUGGCGGUGGUGGUGGAAGCAGCCAUGGUGGUGGUAGUGGCUCUGGUUACGGGGAGGGUUAUGGGUCUGGAUAUGGUGAAGGAGGUGGGAAUGAUUCACCAUGAACAUGAUCACAUUAAUUACAUGAACUAUUCCAUUGUUAGAUAAUUUACCAUCUUUGUCCAUUCGUAACUGAAAUAAAAUGCUCAGCUUCAACAUCACUUUAUGAAUACGUGGUCGUGGACAUGUCACCCUUCGAUAUUAAUCACAUUGUCACUCCUACCAUGCUAUUAAUACAAAAGCUCUAUUUUCUUUUUGAUAAACUUAUUAGACUAGAUUCUACUUAUCUUGAAUGUUUUUGUUGUUUAAGAGUAAAACUACUAUUGCAAAUAUCUUUAAAAUAUUUAUGUGGUAAAUAGUUCUGAUAAAUAAAAUCUUUCUCUUUAAUAGGAUUUUUCUCUUCAACUCCAUUCCGCCCUGAAUGAAAAUAUUGUUUGUCAUACAUUAUGCAUGAAACGUUUGGUUAGGUUUUGAGACCGUUUGAUUGGUAAGUUGGAUUGGUGCCUA